GCCUUCGUGGUGUUGUGGUUCUGCAUGCUGGGCCUGUAUUCCAGAGGUCCGGGGUUCGAUUCCCGGCGAAGGCG
rnacentral:tRNA from 1 species